AUAUUGUAUGACAGGUAUUAAUCAGUAGAGGGCAGUAAGGGUGCACGCAUGUCAGAAGAAACCCAGCUGCAUUUGCUGGAUUAUGAUUAAUGAAAAUGAGACAUUUGAGGCUAAUUUGAAUGCCGAUCCAUUCAGAUGAAGGACUGCAUGUUCACAUGGAAGGAAAAGUCACUAGAGGAAGCAGAAUUGAGACCCCAUGGACGUUGCUUUUAUUAACAGCUGGGUCUAAGCUGACUGAAGACUUUCCAAAUGCCGAAGAAUGUCUGCAAAACACCCUAAAACAUGGUAAGGGUUUACAAUCCUGUCCCUAGUUCCUGCAAUUUGCAAACCUCAUCAGUUUCCUCACAGUAUAUCAGAUCGGCAGACUCGACUACUCUGCCAAACCUCAUUCCCUUUCCUGCCUCUCAAAUGGAGCCAAACAAAGCUAGAUCAAUAAAGACCCGCCUCAGGAUGCCAACCGUGGUCUCCGCAGAGCUUCAAACAAACCCCGGCACUGAGGAGGAGGUCUGAUAGCCAUCACAUCACACUGAGAUAUGGCUCUCGAACACUGGAGCUCAUAUCAGCACACGGGACACAUGCCACCAUCCUCUCAGUAUUCUGCGCCAGUGAGCAGCCCAGACACAGUGCCUGAUUAACUGAAUGCACCAUCAUGGCCUCUUGAGAACGAACAAGUGGGCCGCACCAGAACGGGAUGGACGUAGAAAAUGAGCGUGAAGAAACUGAUUGCAUGAAGGGGUCUUUUAAAAUGGGGGAAGUGAAAUAGGUUGAGGGGAGACUUGUCUGAAAGGCUGCCAAGUAGCGGGAUAAUUUAAAAGGCGAGAGAGACAACAGCAAAGUAGCACAGGUUGUUAGCAAUGUGGGCCACCGUGGAAUGAAUUAUGAUGAUGUGAGGAAGACGAUUUCAUUAUCUUCAUUAAAAACCAAUUAAUAUUCCUAAUUAUGAAGUCAUGAUUCUUUAAUGAUUGCCAACCGUGUCCCUUCAGAACAAAAAUCAAAGACUUACAUUUAGAACUAAUGCACAAAUAUCUGACAUCAUACAAUAAACACAUCAUUUGCUCACCCUCAUAGCAUUCCAAUCCUGUAUGAACACUGUGUAACACAAAAGAAGACAUUCAGAUGACCGUGUUGCUCGCUGCAAACAAAUAACUGGGUCAAUGAUUUGAUCUUGAGAAUCGGAUCAAGUUGUGAACCAUAUCAAAUGAUUUACUAAAAAAAGAUCUGUCUUCAGAAUUUCUCCUCGUCUUCAAUAGAAAAAAAAAAGUCAUACAGGUUUGGAAUACAUGAGGGUGAGUAAAUUUUAAUAAGAGUACUAUUACAGAAAUAAUAUGCUUUAAAAUAAUAGGCUAUAUUUCAAGGGAUAGUUCACAAUGAAAAUUCCAUUUACGCACCCUCAUGUUCUCUGACUUUCUUCUUUGUAACAUAAAAGAAGUUAUUUUGAGAUGUCUCUGUUUAUAUAUAUAAAUAUAUAUGUCUUCAGACA